rnacentral:rRNA from 1 species
GGAUUAGAUACCCGGGUAGUCCACGCCGUAAACGAUGAGUGCUAGGUGUUAGGGGCUUCCAUGCCCUUGGUGCCGAAGUUAACACAGUAAGCACUCCGCCUGGGGAGUACGGCCGCAAGGCUGAAACUCAAAGGAAUUGACGGGGACCCGCACAAGCAGUGGAGUAUGUGGUUUAAUUCGAAGCAACGCGAAGAACCUUACCAGGUCUUGACAUCCCGAUGAAACACCUAGAGAUAGGUGCCCUCUUCGGAGCAUUGGAGACAGGUGGUGCAUGGUUGUCGUCAGCUCGUGUCGUGAGAUGUUGGGUUAAGUCCCGCAACGAGCGCAACCCUUGAUGUUAGUUGCCAGCAGGUGAAGCUGGGCACUCUAAGAUGACUGCCGGUGACAAACCGG